GUUGUAUGGUUAAGUGACUAAGCGUACACGGUGGAUGCCUUGGCAGUCAGAGGCGAUGAAAGACGUAGUAACUUGCGAUAAGCCCAGAUUAGGUAGUAACAACCAUUUGAGUCUGGGAUUUCUGAAUGGGGAAACCCACGUGCAUAAGCACGUAUCCUUACCUGAAUACAUAGGGUAAGGAGGCGAACCGGGGGAACUGAAACAUCUAAGUACCCCGAGGAAAAGAAAUCAACCGAGAUUCCGAAAGUAGCGGCGAGCGAAAUUGGACUAGCCCUUAAGCUUUACACGCGUUAGACGAACGGUCUGGAAAGUCCGACGAUACAGGGUGAUAGUCCCGUAGUUGACGACGUGUGUUCAGUGAAAUCGAGUAGGGCGGGACACGUGAUAUCCUGUCUGAAUAUGGGGGGACCAUCCUCCAAGGCUAAAUACUACUGACUGACCGAUAGUGAACCAGUACCGUGAGGGAAAGGCGAAAAGAACCCCUGUGAGGGGAGUGAAAUAGAACCUGAAACCGUGUACGUACAAGCAGUAGGAGCAGGCUUUGUCCUGUGACUGCGUACCUUUUGUAUAAUGGGUCAGCGACUUAUAUUCAGUGGCAAGGUUAACCAUCUAGGGGAGCCGUAGGGAAACCGAGUCUUAACUGGGCGUUCAGUCUCUGGAUAUAGACCCGAAACCAGGUGAUCUAGCCAUGGGCAGGUUGAAGGUUGAGUAACAUCAACUGGAGGACCGAACCGACUAAUGUUGAAAAAUUAGCGGAUGACUUGUGGCUAGGGGUGAAAGGCCAAUCAAACCUGGAGAUAGCUGGUUCUCCCCGAAAGCUAUUUAGGUAGCGCCUCGGACGAAUACUACUGGGGGUAGAGCACUGUUAAGGCUAGGGGGUCAUCCCGACUUACCAACCCUUUGCAAACUCCGAAUACCAGUAAGUACUAUCCGGGAGACACACGGCGGGUGCUAACGUCCGUCGUGGAGAGGGAAACAACCCAGACCGCCAGCUAAGGUCCCAAAUUACUACUAAGUGGGAAACGAUGUGGGAAGGCUCAGACAGCCAGGAUGUUGGCUUAGAAGCAGCCAUCAUUUAAAGAAAGCGUAAUAGCUCACUGGUCGAGUCGGCCUGCGCGGAAGAUGUAACGGGGCUAAGUAGUAAACCGAAGCUGCGGCAAUAUACUUUUGUAUAUUGGGUAGGGGAGCGUUCUGUAAGCGGUUGAAGGUGUGUGGUAACGCAUGCUGGACGUAUCAGAAGUGCGAAUGCUGACAUGAGUAACGAUAAAGGGGGUGAAAAACCUCCUCGCCGGAAGACCAAGGGUUCCUGUCCAACGUUAAUCGGGGCAGGGUAAGUCGACCCCUAAGGCGAGGCCGAAAGGCGUAGUCGAUGGGAAACGGGUUAAUAUUCCCGUACUUCUUACAAUUGCGAUGGGGGGACGGAGAAGGCUAGGUGGGCCUGGCGACGGUUGUCCAGGUUCAAGUGCGUAGGCUUGAGAGUUAGGUAAAUCCGGCUCUCUUUAAGGCUGAGACACGACGUCGAGCACCUACGGGUGUGAAGUCAUUGAUGCCAUGCUUCCAGGAAAAGCCUCUAAGCUUCAGAUUGUAAGGAAUCGUACCCCAAACCGACACAGGUGGUCGGGUAGAGAAUACCAAGGCGCUUGAGAGAACUCGGGUGAAGGAACUAGGCAAAAUGGUACCGUAACUUCGGGAGAAGGUACGCUCUUGAUGGUGAAGUCCCUUGCGGAUGGAGCUGACGAGAGUCGCAGAUACCAGGUGGCUGCAACUGUUUAUUAAAAACACAGCACUGUGCAAAAUCGUAAGAUGACGUAUACGGUGUGACGCCUGCCCGGUGCCGGAAGGUUAAUUGAUGGGGUUAGACUUCGGUCGAAGCUCUUGAUCGAAGCCCCGGUAAACGGCGGCCGUAACUAUAACGGUCCUAAGGUAGCGAAAUUCCUUGUCGGGUAAGUUCCGACCUGCACGAAUGGCGUAAUGAUGGCCACGCUGUCUCCACCCGAGACUCAGUGAAAUUGAAAUCGCUGUGAAGAUGCAGUGUACCCGCGGCUAGACGGAAAGACCCCGUGAACCUUUACUACAGCUUGGCACUGAACAUUGACCCUACAUGUGUAGGAUAGGUGGGAGGCUUUGAAGCACGUACGCCAGUAUGUGUGGAGCCGUCCUUGAAAUACCACCCUUGUAGUGUUGAUGUUCUAACGUUGACCCCUAAUCGGGGUUGCGGACAGUGCCUGGUGGGUAGUUUGACUGGGGCGGUCUCCUCCCAAAGAGUAACGGAGGAGCACGAAGGUGGGCUAAUCACGGUUGGACAUCGUGAGGUUAGUGCAAUGGCAUAAGCCCGCUUGACUGCGAGAAUGACAAUUCGAGCAGGUGCGAAAGCAGGUCAUAGUGAUCCGGUGGUUCUGAAUGGAAGGGCCAUCGCUCAACGGAUAAAAGGUACUCCGGGGAUAACAGGCUGAUACCGCCCAAGAGUUCAUAUCGACGGCGGUGUUUGGCACCUCGAUGUCGGCUCAUCACAUCCUGGGGCUGAAGUCGGUCCCAAGGGUAUGGCUGUUCGCCAUUUAAAGUGGUACGCGAGCUGGGUUUAGAACGUCGUGAGACAGUUCGGUCCCUAUCUGCCGUGGGCGUUGGAAGAUUGAAGGGGGCUGCUCCUAGUACGAGAGGACCGGAGUGGACGAACCUCUGGUGUUCGGGUUGUGUCGCCAGACGCAUUGCCCGGUAGCUAAGUUCGGAAUCGAUAACCGCUGAAAGCAUCUAAGCGGGAAGCGAGCCCUGAGAUGAGUCUUCCCUGAUACUUUAAGUAUCCUAAAGGGUUGUCGGAGACUACGACGUUGAUAGGUCAGGUGUGUAAGUGCUGUGAGGCAUUGAGCUAACUGAUACUAAUUGCCCGUGAGGCUUAACCAUACAACACCCAAGGGGUUU
rnacentral:rRNA from 1 species